AUUGCCUCAGUAACGGCGAGUGAAGCGGCAACAGCUCAAAUUUGAAAUCUGGCCCCCAGGCCCGAGUUGUAAUUUGUAGAGGAUGCUUCUGGCGACGCGACUUCCGAGUUCCCUGGAACGGGACGCCAAAGAGGGUGAGAGCCCCGUCCGGUCGUUCGCCUAGCCUCUGUGAAGCUCCUUCGACGAGUCGAGUAGUUUGGGAAUGCUGCUCUAAAUGGGAGGUAUACGUCUUCUAAAGCUAAAUACCGGCCAGAGACCGAUAGCGCACAAGUAGAGUGAUCGAAAGAUGAAAAGCACUUUGAAAAGAGGGUUAAAUAGUACGUGAAAUUGCUGAAAGGGAAGCGCUUAUGACCAGACUUGGGCCAGGUGAAUCAUCCGGCGUUCUCGCCGGUGCACUUUGCCUGCCCAGGCCAGCAUCAGUUCGCUUCGGGGGAUAAAGGCUUCGGGAAUGUAGCUCCUCCGGGAGUGUUAUAGACCGUUGCGUAAUACCCUGGGGUGGACUGAGGUACGCGUUCUGCAAGGAUGCUGGCGUAAUGGUCAUCAGUGACCCGUCUUGAAACACGGACCAAGGAGUCGUCUUCGUAUGCGAGUGUUCGGGUGUCAAACCCCUACGCGUAAUGAAAGUGAACGUAGGAGAGAGCUUCGGCGCAUCUCCGACCGAUCCUGAUGUUCUCGGAUGGAUUUGAGUAAGAGCAUACGGGGCCGGACCCGAAAGAAGGUGAACUAUGCCUGUAUAGGGUGAAGCCAGAGGAAACUCUGGUGGAGGCUCGCAGCGGUUCUGACGUGCAAAUCGAUCGUCAAAUAUGGGCAUGGGGGCGAAAGACUAAUCGAACCUUCUAGUAGCUGGUUUCCGCCGA
rnacentral:rRNA from 1 species